UUGAGAAAUUUUCAUUUGGAUAACCUUCCAUAAUCUUUAGAAACUACAAAAGCAAAACAUUCUUUUUUUCGGUGUUCAAAUCAAUUUACAUGAUUUAAAAAAAUCCUAAUUAAUAAGAAAUAAUCUAAAAGAAGUACUAAAGAGCUUUACCAAAGAGAGUAUGGAAAGAUGGUUCCAAUUUGCAACAAGAUAAUUUAAGCUGUGAUCUUUAAUGGGCUGUGAAUUUCUAAGCCAAAAAAGAGGAUACAAAAUAGAUGUCUAAGAAUGUUCUUCGAGGAUUUUGUGCAGUGGAAGAAGAUCCAAGCAUUCCUCUCCUCCCAAAUCUUUGACAAAACUGCACUAAUGAUGUUGGUCCAAAUAACUGACUGCCUUGUAGUCUUUGAAAGGAUGGUCCAAAAGCAACAUUCUGAUCCAAUCAAUUGUGUCAAGAACCUUUAAAUACUAAAAUAACUCGUAAAAGACAGUAAAUCCUAAGUAGAUGGCCAUACAGAUCACUAGAUGCAAUGAUAUUCUAUUCAUUCAAAUAAUGAUUUUGCUCUCUUUUCCACUGCAUGAUGAGCCUAUCUCUCUUGAAGCAGAGCUUCCUUCUACUUUUAUGUGGUCUGUGGGAGCAUCUGAAAUACGCUAUCUAUUUUGGAGUGUCUUUUGAUUAUAUUACGGUUUGAGUGAUUGGAAGGUAGAAUUUGGAGUUGAUGUCAAUUAGGAGCUAAUUCAGGCAGUACAGAGUCAAACGAUGUAAACCAUGUAAACCGAGGCAGUCGUGCACCAAAAGAAGCCCAUUUGAACUUCUGCCUUGUAGUUCUGCAGUGCCCCAUGGCGCCCUAUGUGGCGCUGUAAGGCAGAGAGCUCAUUAUUUGCGAAAAGGCCCCGGCGCCGCGACUCAGUCCUUGAACUUCGCAGCGCUCCGAACAUUUUACCCGCGCUCUAGGCUUCAAGAUGUCGGCGCCGCGAUAGUGAUUUAGGGUGUUAAGCAAUGAGACUCUGUUUUUGAUAAGAUGGCGAUAUAGGCUCUCUAGAUCUUCUUCGAUGUCAUGAAUACACAACUCCAAUUUCCAUAGCGAGUGUUGGACCUCUUCGCCUUGUGCAAGGAAAUCAAAUUUGUGAUUCUUGAUUGAAUUUAAUGCAGCAUCCACCAUCUCUACUUCAUUUUCAUCUGUGGAAUCAUCUUUGCAGACUACUCUCUUAGGUUGCAUCAACAUAGAAACCAAAGACCAUUUGCUCAUCUUUGAUGGCAACUUCGGUCCUGCUACAAAUGACAACAAGGAUUCAAUGCUGUUAUAUGUAACAGUUUCUGCCUCCUUUAGCAAGCUAACAAUUUCUGAACUUUCAUCACUUUUUUGGGAACUUGUUUUUUCCAUUCCCUUCAAGGCCUUGCGGAUUGCUUUUUUAAUCAUCUUCCUUGAGUUCAAAUACUUUUGAACAUCAACCAUGCUAUAUUUUCUUCUGCGCAAAGCGCACUCAAGUUCGUGUGCAGAUUCUUUCAUUUGUGACAAAACAUCCUUAGCCAAAGCACACACAUCCAAGAUCUUGAGAGAUCCUUCAAGCAAGUCAUCAACAGACUUGUUGUCAAUAAGAGCUUGAUGGGUGAGUGGCAAAAGAAGCAACUUAUCAAUGCAAUCAUGUAAAUCUUGGAGACCAUCAAGUUUUUGGCACAAAGAAGAGGAUGAAGAAGUGGCUUCUUCAGAGGCCUUCAAUCUGCAGAGAUGUUCAUUAACUUCAUCCACAACUGGAUGUGGCUUUGAAGGCAAACUGUUCGAACGAAUGUGGAAAGAUUUCUUCGAGUUUACAGAAAAGGAAUCCAUCUUUUUUACAAAAGCCUAAGCUGAUGGAUUGUAAAAAGCCAAAGCAGCUUCAAGUUGAGUUCUUCUUUUGGCUUUCAAGAGCUUAUUUAUAUUACUUGGGCUUAGGGAGACAUGAGGAAUCUCAAGCUCAUCUAAUUAUAAUCAAUUAGUGAUAUGUAUAAAAAAAUAAUUCAGUCAUGUCGUUACUUUGUCUCCCUCCCACCUCUUUCUUCUCUCCACCAUAAUUGAUGACAAUUUCUAUAUGACAGAAAUUGCAUUUGUUUUAUAAUUCAUGGCUGUAUUAUAUCAUGGAGAAAUGUAAUGCUACAAAAAAAUGGCUCCUAUGGUUUUAAAACAAA